UUUUAGGGACUCACUCUCUCAUUAGCAUUUUCUAAGUCCUAGCCAUCUCCUAUUUAUAGGCAAUCCACCUCCUCAAAUGUGUGGUGGAGAACUUGCCUCAAACAUAUGGUGUGCAGCAAGUCUCUAGAAUUUUCUAUACAUCUCCAGCAAUUACUUAAGCAUACAGCCCAUUUAGGAAGAAUCUAGAGACAUCCAGCACUUGUGUAGGCAGCCAGCACCUUGUAGGCAAUUCUAG
rnacentral:misc_RNA from 1 species